rnacentral:rRNA from 1 species
AAUAGAUACCCUGGUAGUCCACGCCGUAAACGAUGAGUGCUAAGUGUUAGGGGGUUUCCGCCCCUUAGUGCUGCAGCUAACGCAUUAAGCACUCCGCCUGGGGAGUACGGUCGCAAGACUGAAACUCAAAGGAAUUGACGGGGGCCCGCACAAGCGGUGGAGCAUGUGGUUUAAUUCGAAGCAACGCGAAGAACCUUACCAGGUCUUGACAUCCCAUUGACCGCUAUGGAGACAUGGCUUUCCCUUCGGGGACAGUGGUGACAGGUGGUGCAUGGUUGUCGUCAGCUCGUGUCGUGAGAUGUUGGGUUAAGUCCCGCAACGAGCGCAACCCUUGUUCUUAGUUGCCAUCAUUUAGUUGGGCACUCUAAGGAGACUGCCGGUGACAAACCGGAGGAAGGUGGGGAUGACGUCAAAUCAUCAUGCCCCUUAUGACCUGGGCUACACACGUGCUACAAUGGACGGUACAACGGUUGCCAACCGCGAGGGGAGCUAAUCCGAUAAACCGUUCUCAGUUCGGAUUGUAGGCUGCAACUCGCCUAC